rnacentral:misc_RNA from 1 species
GAUGAAGAACGCAGCGAAAUGCGAUAAGUAAUGCGAAUUGCAGAAUUUCCGUGAAUCAUCGAAUCUUUGAACGCACAUUGCGCCCAUUAGUAUUCUAGUGGGCAUGCCUGUUCGAGCGUCAUUAAUUCCACUUAAGCCCUUUGCUUAGUAUUGGGAAUCUACCGAAGGAGUUACCCUGUAGCUACCCUGUAGUUCCUUAAAGAUAGCGGCGGAGUCGUGGUUUCCUCUGAGCUUAGUAAUUUUUUCCUAGCUUUCGAGACAAUCACUCCCCUUGCCGUUAAACACCCAUAUUUUUUAAUGGUUGACCUCGGAUCAGGUAGGAAUACCCGCUGAACUUAAGCAUAUCAAUAAGCGGAGGA